rnacentral:rRNA from 1 species
GACGAACCGUGCAAACGUUGUUCGGAAUCACUGGGCUUAAAGGGCGCGUAGGCGGGUGGUCAAGUCAGGGGUGAAAUCUUUCCGCUCAACGGGAAAACAGCUUUUGAUACUGGCCAUCUUGAGGGGGGUAGGGGCAUGUGGAACUUCCGGUGGAGCGGUGAAAUGCGUAGAUAUCGGAAGGAACGCCGGUGGCGAAAGCGGCUCACUGGCCCGGUACUGACGCUGAGGUGCGAAAGCGUGGGGAGCAAACAGG